GUAGGAUACUUGAGAGGAGUUGCCCCUAGUACGAGAGGACCGGGGUGAACGAACCACUGGUGGACCAGUUGUCGUGCCAACGGCAGUGCUGGGUAGCUAAGUUCGGACAGGAUAACCGCUGAAGGCAUCUAAGCGGGAAGCCCCCCUCAAAACAAGGUAUCCCUGAGGGCCGAGGUAGACCACCUCGUCGAUAGGCCAGAGAUGUAAGCGUGGUAACACGUUCAGUUGACUGGUACUAAUUGCCCGAUAGGCUUGAUUUGAUCCAG
rnacentral:rRNA from 1 species